rnacentral:rRNA from 1 species
AGUGAACGCUGGCGGUAGGCCUAACACAUGCAAGUCGAACGGCAGCACGGGAGAGCUUGCUCUCUGGGUGGCGAGUGGCGGACGGGUGAGGAAUACAUCGGAAUCUGCCCAGUCGUGGGGGAUAACGUAGGGAAACUUACGCUAAUACCGCAUACGACCUUCGGGUGAAAGAGGGGGAUCGCAAGACCUCUCGCGAUUGGAUGAGCCGAUGUCGGAUUAGCUAGUUGGCGGGGUAAUGGCCCACCAAGGCGACGAUCCGUAGCUGGUCUGAGAGGAUGAUCAGCCACACUGGAACUGAGACACGGUCCAGACUCCUACGGGAGGCAGCAGUGGGGAAUAUUGGACAAUGGGCGCAAGCCUGAUCCAGCCAUACCGCGUGGGUGAAGAAGGCCUUCGGGUUGUAAAGCCCUUUUGUUGGGAAAGAAAUCUUUCAGGCUAAUACCCUGGGAGGAUGACGGUACCCAAAGAAUAAGCACCGGCUAACUUCGUG